GACUCCGUGGCGCAACGGUAGCGCGUCUGACUCCAGACCAGAAGGUUACGUCUUCAGAUCACGUCCGGGUUA
rfam:Ascaris suum AG00661, whole genome shotgun sequence.